rnacentral:rRNA from 1 species
CGCCUCUUGAAAAAAUAUAAGAGGUCCAGCCUGCCCAGUGACUAAGUUUAACGGCCGCGGUACCCUAACCGUGCGAAGGUAGCAUAAUCACUUGUUCUUUAAUUGGGGACUCGUAUCAACGGCAUCACGAAGGCUGCACUGUCUCCUUUCUCUAAUCAGUGAAACUGAUCUCCCCGUGAAGAAGCGGGGAUAAAAUUAUAAGACGAGAAGACCCCAUGGAGCUUCAAACUCAUCAUGCAACUCUGUCCUCCAUAUCCCUUAAUUCAAGAGAUGUGCAUGUUAGUUUUGGGUUGGGGGGACCUCGGAGUAUAACUUAACCUCCAAAACAAAUGGGUUAACACCUUUAUCCGCGAGAAACACCUCUAAGAAUUACUAAACUAAUGCUUUUUGAUCCGAUAAUCGAUCAAUGGACCAAGUUACCCUGGGGAUAACAGCGCAAUCUACUUCAAGAGUUCAUAUCGACAAGUGGGUUUACGACCUCGAUGUUGGAUCAGGGUAUCCUGGUGGUGCAACCGCUACUAAUGGUUCGUUUGUUCAACGAUUAAAACCCC